GGUUCAGUGGUAGAAUGCUUGCCUUUCAUGCGGGAGGUCUGGGUUCGAUUCCUGG
rnacentral:tRNA from 1 species